rnacentral:rRNA from 1 species
UUGGUCAUUUAGAGGAAGUAAAAGUCGUAACAAGGUCUCCGUAGGUGAACCUGCGGAGGGAUCAUUACACAAUUAAAAUAUGAAGGCCCUUCAAACCGGCUGGAUUAUUUUUAUUCACCCUUGUCUUUUGCGCACUUGUUGUUUCCUGGGCGGGUUCGCUCGCCACCAGGACCACAUCAUAAACCUUUUUUGCUAAUGCAAUCAGCGUCAGUAUAACAAAUGUAAAUCAUUUACAACUUUCAACAACGGAUCUCUUGGUUCUGGCAUCGAUGAAGAACGCAGCGAAAUGCGAUAAGUAGUGUGAAUUGCAGAAUUCAGUGAAUCAUCGAAUCUUUGAACGCACAUUGCGCCCCUUGGUAUUCCAUGGGGCAUGCCUGUUCGAGCGUCAUUUGUACCUUCAAGCCCUGCUUGGUGUUGGGUGUUUUGUCUCGCCUCCGCGCGCAGACUCGCCUUAAAACAAUUGGCAGCCGGCGUAUUGAUUUCGGAGCGCAGUACAUCUCGCGCUUUGCACUCAUAACGACGACGUCCAAAAGUACAUUUUUACACUCUUGACCUCGGAUCAGGUAGGGAUACCCGCUGAACUUAGGCAUAUCAAUAAG